rnacentral:tRNA from 1 species
GCGUGGAUGGCUCAGUCGGUUGAGCGUCUGACUUCGACUCAGAUCACGAUCUCACAGUCUGUGAGUUCAAGCCCUACGUCGAGCU